UUUCACAAUCAUUCAAUUUUAGCACUAAAAGUAGUGAGAUUGGCAGUGUUUUUGGGUAUAUUAGCGUCCUUUGCAAAAGGUACACCAAAGAUUGUCCCUGUUAUCUAUUCCCAAGAUUGAGUUCUCAAAUAAAAUCACCUCAUUUAUCUACUACCAAUGGAAAUUACCUUAUUGAGUGAUGACAUUUUCUUAUUUUUUAAAAUUUUG
rnacentral:lncRNA from 1 species